GACAGAGGGUGCAAACGUUGCUCGGAAUUACUGGGCGUAAAGCGCGUGUAGGUGGAUUGGUGUGUCAGAUGUGAAAUCCCUGGGCUCAACCCAGGAACUGCACCUGAAACUACCAGUCUUGAGUGGUGGAGAGGGAAGUGGAAUUCCUGGUGUAGAGGUGAAAUUCGUAGAUAUCAGGAGGAACACCAGUGGCGAAGGCAGGUCUCUGGGCCAUUACUGACACUGAGAAGCGAAAGCAUGGGGAGCGAACAGG
rnacentral:rRNA from 1 species